GAUACGUGACCUAGAACAUGAAACCAUCAAUCACCACCUCGUUGAAUAUUCUUUCGUACAGUAAUGAGGAAACAAUUAUUAUUAUAAUCAUAAUGAAGCGUUAAACCCUUAACAGUCAUGUAGAAACGAGAGAAACUUAUUACGAUGAGCGACGCUCUAAACACGUAUCUUAGCGCUUCUUUUUGAUAAUAAUAAUAAUAAUUUAAACACGUACGUGUCAUACAGCAGCUGUGCGAGUGAGGUGUAAUCGGAUUUUGAUCGCGGGUUCUAUCCCCAUCCGUGGUAUGGUUUGUUUGCAAUAGUGUCAUUACGAUUUCGUGAGUCAAAGUCACACCGAGGUCCGGGGUUCCCAUCUCUGGUACGGCUGGAAAACAUUACGGACGUGUUUCUAUAAGACACCUGCUGUUCCUGUUCUUCCAUCAGUAAAAUGUGUACCUGGGUGUUAGUGGACUGGUGUGGGUCGCAUCCUGGGACACUGACCUAAUUUGUGGAAAAUGCUCAACAUAACUAGGGGCUUUCUAUAUAGCAGUGUUGAAGGCAUUAGUCUGCUGUGAGAGUAACGUGUUUUACAGCAUCAACCUUCCACCACACUUUGAGCUACAUAACUAUUAUAUUCAUAAGGAAGCAGUAAGCUCAUGGGUCAUAUAACCUGGGAUAUGCGAGGCAGUCAGGCUUGAACUAUGGAAGAAAUAGGUGGCUUCAGUUCCUUAAACCAAGAGCCCUUCGGUAUCAAAACAAUCCUACCUUCUUGAAUGUACUUGGAAUUUGAAUGGAGGUUACUGUAUUAUUAUAUUCACAAAUACAUCACAAAGCAAUUGUUUAUGUUGUUAAUAGGAAAGUACAGUGGACCCUUGACCAACGAUAUUAAUCCAUUCCUGAGGGCUCAUCGUUAGUCGAAAUUAUCGUUAGUCGAGUUAAUUUUCCCCAUAAGAAAUAAUGGAAAUCAAAUUAAUCCGUGCAAGACACCCAAAAGUAAUGAAAAAAAAAAAAAUUUACCACAUGAAAUAUUAAUUUUAAUACACACAAACUGAAGAAGACAUGUACAAUUACAUGACACUUACCUUUAUUGAAGAUCUGGUGAUGAUUGAUGGGAUGAGAGGAGGGGAAACCGUUGAUCUUGUUAGUGUUUAGAAGGGGAAUCCCCUUCCAUUAGCACUUGAGGUGUCAAGUCCUUUUCCGGGGUUACUUCCCUUCUUCUUUUAAUGCCACUAGGACCAGCUUGAGAGUCACUGGACCUCUGUCGCACAACAUAUCUGUCCAUAGAGGCCUGUACCUCCUGUUCCUUUAUGACAUUCCUGAAGUGUUUCACAACAUUGUCAGUUUGAUAGUCACCAGCACGGCUUGCAAUAGCUGUGUGAGGGUGAUUUUCAUCAAAAAAGGUUUGCACUUUAAGCCACAUUGCACACAUUUCCUUAAGCUUUGAAGUAGACAACUUCUUCAAUUUCUCUAUCCCCUCCUCCGGAGCAGUUUCCUCAGGUCUGGCCUCUUGCUGUUGAAGAUGAUCUUGCAGCUCAUCAGUGGUUAGUUCAUUGUCGUCCUCCACCAACUCUUCCACAUCCUCCCCACUAACCUCCAACCCCAAGGACUUCCGCAAUGCCACAGUUGAUUCCACAACUGGCAUAGGCUUCUCAGGGUUAGCCUCAAAUCCUUCAAAAUCCCUUUUGUCUACACAUUCUGGCCACAAUUUCUUCCAAGCAGAGUUCAAGGUCCUCUUAGUCACUUCCUCCCAGGCUUUGCCUAUAAUGUUUACACAAUUGAGGAUGCUAAAGUGAUCUCUCCAAAACUCUCUUAGAGUCAAUUGAGUUUCUGAGGUCACUACAAAGCACCUUUCAAACAUAGCUUUUGUGUAGAGUUUUUUGAAGUUUGCAAUGACCUGCUGGUCCAUGGGCUGCAGGAGAGGAGUGGUAUUAGGAGGCAAAAACUUGACCUUAAUGAAGCUCAUGUCCCCAGAAAGUCGCUCUGCCACGACUGAAGGAUAACCAGGAGCACUGUCUAAUACCAGGAGGCACUUAAGGUCCAAUUUAUUUUCCAGGAGGUAAUUUUUCACAGUGGGGGCAAAUGCAUGGUGUAACCAGUCAUAGAAAAGGUCUCUAGUGACCCAUGCCUUACUGUUUGCCCUCCACAUCACACACAAAUUAGCCUUGAGGACAUUGUUUUUCCUGAACACUCUGGGAGUUUCAGAGUGAUACACCAAUAAAGGCUUCACUUUGCAAUCACCACUAGCAUUAGCACACAUCAACAGAGUAAGCCUGUCUUUCAUAGGCUUAUGUCCUGGGAAUGCCUUUUCCUCCUGAGUAAUGUAGGUCCUGCUUUGCAUUUUCUUCCAAAACAGGCCUGUUUCGUCACAAUUAAACACUUGUUCAGGUUUCAAUUCUUCACUGUCUAUGUACUCCUUGAAUUCCUGCACAUAUUUUUCAGCUGCAUUUUGGUCCGAACUGGCAGCCUCACCAUGCCUUAUCACACUAUGUAUGCCACUACGAUUCUUAAAUCUCUCAAACCAACCUUUGCUGGCCUUAAAUUCACUCACAUCACCACUAGUUGCAGGCAUUUUUCUAAUUAAAUCGUCAUGCAACUUCCUAGCCUUUUCACAUAUGAUCGCUUGAGAGAUGCUAUCUCCUACUAUCUGUUUUUCGUUUAUCCACACCAAUAACACUCUCUCAACAUCUCCUAUCACUUGCGAUCUCAGUUUCGAAAACAUAGUUGCACCUUUGGCAAGAACAGCUUCCUUGAUUGCCGUUUUCUUGGCCACAAUAGUAGCGAUGGUUGAUUGGGGUUUUGUGUACAACCUGGCCAGCUCGGAGACACGCACUCCACUUUCAUACUUAGCAAUGAUCUCUUUCUUCAUAUCCAUAGUAAUUCUCACCCUUUUUGCUGUAGGGUUAGCACUAGAAGCUUUCUUGGGGCCCAUGAUGACUUAUUUUGCAGGUGCAAUCACUAAAAAUGCUGUGAUAAUAUGAAAUGUUCCGAUUGCAUGUUUGGAUGGGACCGCGGUGGCUGGCUGGCUUGUAAACACUGGCACCCACGGGACAAGUGAGGCGUGCUCAGGCCACAAGUGGAUGCGUUUCGAACAGAACGAAUAGCGUUGGUCGAGUUUUUUAGCGCUAGUCGAGGCAAAAUUUUUGCGUUGAAAUGUAUCGCUAGUCAGAUUUAACGUUAUACGAUGCCAUCAUUGGUCGAGCGUCCACUGUACUAAACUUGUACAGUUCAUACAUCUAUCACAAAGUAGAAAAUACACCUACCAUCCGACUUACGACCUGCUCGACUUGCGACCACUCGACUUACGACCGUGUUUUUUAUGCCAAAUUUCUGGGAAAUAUACAACUAUUUGUGUUGUACACAGUGUUUAUCCUAAACCUUACAAUAUAAAAUACAGUACUAACAACAUAAAAAGUAAAGUAAAACAUGAAAUACCAAAAUAAAACAAUAAAAUAAAGUCAUUACAAAAAUGUUUUGUUGAUAUUCAGCAGUAAAGUUUGACUUACGACCAUUUCAACUUACAACCGGUUUCUCGGAACCGAACUCGGUCGUAAGUCGGAUGGUAGAUGUAUAAACAAAAACAUCUGCAAUACAGUUUUGUGCGGUUGAGCUUCAAAUGUUUACAUUAUCCACUCAGAUAAGGCAGAGUAACAAAUUAUUAUAUUGUUAUAUUCAGUGGAGAUGCUAAACCCCUGAGGGUCAUACAGCGCCUGAGAAAUGGAAGUACGUAAUCAUGUUUGACCCAAAUGUACUGUUACUCUGAUUGCAGAAAGCGCUACACAGUCAUACCCCACUUCAUGUCAUUUCAGCCUACCUCAAAUUUACCUUUACGCCACUUUUCUGGAGUAAAUUUCAGUUCAGUGAAUGUCAUUAUGUCCAACUUUGUGUCUCAGCAAUGUCACCUACAUCAUGAUUUUUUUAAUUGUUUUCAUUAUUCUUUAAAAAAUGUGACUAAAAUGUGUUUUUAGUGUUCUUUAAGGUUUAGCAAUAGUUAUAUUCUUUUGUGAGUUAUUUGUGCUAGUUUUACAGUGUUUGUCAUCAUUUUAAAGCAUUAUGUCCGGUUUACGUCAAAAACCGGGUUACCUCACAGCUCUUUGAACCAAUUACCACUAAUGACCACAUGAACUGUUAGUGUCUUACUAAUCUUAACCCUUUGACUGUCGCGGCCGUAUAUAUACGUUUGUGAGGUACCGUGUUUGACGUAUAUAUACUCAUAAAUUCUAGCGGCUUCAAAUCAGGCAGGAGAAAGCUAGUAGGCCCACAUGUGAGAGAAUGGGUCUGUGUGGUCAGUGUGCACCACAUAAAAAAAAUCCUGGAGCACGCAGUGCAUAAUGAGAAAAAAAAACUCCGACCGUUUUUUUUAAUUAAAAUGCCGACUUUGUGGUCUAUUUCAUAUA